ensembl:lncRNA
GACACUGUGCUGUGACUAGUGAUUACUACCUCCACAGAGACACUGUGUUGAGACUAGUGAUUACUACCUCCACAGAGACACUGAUGUGACUAGUGAUUACUACCUCCACAGAGACACUGUGUUGAGACUAGUGAUUACUACCUCCACAGAGACACAGUGCUGUGACUAGUGAUUACUGCUUCCACUGUCUGGAAAACCUAUUCUAGUCAUAGAUCAUUCUUCCACUGUAAUUACAGUGUGUGUGUGUGUGCACGUGCGUGCUUGUGUGUGUGUGUGUGUGUGUGUGUGCGCUUGUUUGUGUAAUAGAUGUGUGUGAAUGAGGUGAGGGAGAGAUAAGUAGCAGCUGAGAGAAGAUUCCUGUCUUGGCGUCGUGAGGCAUCGCACGAGGGCUGUCCCAAAUGGGACCUUAUUCCCUACACAGUACGAAGGUAGUGCUCUAUAUAGGGAACAGGGUGCUAUUUGGGAAGUAGACCAGGUGUCUCUUACACCCCACCCUGGCACACAGGGCUUCCCCUGCUGCUACCAGACUAAUGGAAUCAGUCACAUGAGACAACCUGGCACACAGGGCUUCCCCUGCUGCUACCAGACUAAUGGAAUCAGUCACAUGAGACAACCUGGCACACAGGGCUUCCCCUGCUGCUACCAGACUAAUGGAAUCAGUCACGUGAUACAACCUGGCACACAGGGCUUCCCCUGCUGCUACCAGACUAAUGGAAUCAGUCACGUGAUACAACCUGGCACACAGGGCUUCCCCUGCUGCUACCAGACUAAUGGAAUCAGUCACGUGAUACAACCUGGCACACAGGGCUUCCCCUGCUGCUUCCAGACUAAUGGAAUCAGUCACAUGAGACAACCAUGAUGAACUACCAUUAUUAAUUACUGAGCCUAGUCUGCUUAGAGGACAGAUCAGAGAACAUAAGGACCUUGUAUAGAAGUCUGUCUACAGAGUGCUAUUUGGGACAAAGCCUUGGUGAUAUGAGGAAGUGGGUUUCAGGCAGCAACGGGGCUCAUACUCUAAUGAUAUUGGAGGAGUCCCCUGUCUAGAUGGUAUUUACUUUGAAUCAGGACUUUCUACGUCCUGUUCUUGUCCCGUUGUGGUGGAAGAGUCCGGACUUUCUGCCUUUUGUCCGAACCCCUAAGAGUACACAGUAGAGGGGUUUCUUUCCGGAAGGUACCUUCAAGGACCUGCUGUCAUCUACACCAGCCACAGAGAAUAUAUGGCUGCAUCCAAAAUGGCACCCUAUUCCCUGAGUGGUGCAAGUAGAGUGCUGCAAAGGUCAAAGGGUUCCAUUUGGAACGCACACCAUCGUACCUCCGGAACAUCCAUUACAGAGCUCUUUGCCUCUCUCUGUCUCUCACCAUCACACCUCCGGAACAUCCAUUAAAGAGGUCUUUGCCUCUCUCUGUCUUUCACCAGCCACAAUAUACAGUAAAUACAAUAUAACCCUUGUCAUAAGCUCUACCCUCUCCUCUCAUUUACAACCUGACAGUGAAAAAUGCAUGGGUAGCCACUUCAAUGAAUAGCAAAGUAUGUGUGUCUGAGUGGGGAUGGUAGAGCAGGGGGGAGCAAUGCAUCUAACUGAUGCAUUGCUUAGCAACCCUUAACCACCAUUCUUAGUCUCUAGGGGUUGAUUUAUCCUUGAUUUCUGGUAGAGAGGACCGGAGUGACUGGUAGGGUCUGGUAGAGAGGACCAGAGUGACUGGUAGGGUCUGGCUGGUGGUAGAGAGGACCAGAGUGACUGGUAGGGUCUGGUAGAGAGGACCGGAGUGACUGGUAGGGUCUGGUAGAGAGGACCAGAGUGACUGGUAGGGUCUGGUAGAGAGGACCAGAGUGACUGGUAGGG